rnacentral:rRNA from 1 species
GAUGAACGCUGGCGGCGUGCCUAAUACAUGCCAGUAGAACGCUGAAGGAAGGAGCUUGCUCUUUCCGGAUGAGUUGCGAACGGGUGAGUAACGCGUAGGUAACCUGCCUGGUAGCGGGGGAUAACUAUUGGAAACGAUAGCUAAUACCGCAUAACAGUAGAUGUUGCAUGAUAUCUACUUAAAAGGUGCAAUUGCACCACUACCAGAUGGACCUGCGUUGUAUUAGCUAGUUGGUGAGGUAACGGCUCACCAAGGCGACGAUACAUAGCCGACCUGAGAGGGUGAUCGGCCACACUGGGACUGGGACACGGCCCAGACUCCUACGGGAGGCAGCAGUAGGGAAUCUUCGGCAAUGGACGGAAGUCUGACCGAGCAACGCCGCGUGAGUGAAGAAGGUUUUCGGAUCGUAAAGCUCUGUUGUAAGAGAAGAACGAGUGUGAGAGUGGAAAGUUCACACUGUGACGGUAUCUUACCAGAAAGGGACGGCUAACUACGUG